UGAGGAAUAUUGGUCAAUGGGCGGAAGCCUGAACCAGCCAAGUCGCGUGAAGGAAGAAUGUCCUAUGGAUUGUAAACUUCUUUUGUCGGGGAGUAAAAUCACCUACGUGUAGGUGUUUGCAAGUACCCGAAGAAAAAGCAUCGGCUAACUCCGUGCCAGCAGCCGCGGUAAUACGGAGGAUGCGAGCGUUAUCCGGAUUUAUUGGGUUUAAAGGGUGCGUAGGCUGCUUGUUAAGUCAGUGGUGAAAUCACGGAGCUCAACUCCGUAACUGCCAUUGAAACUGGCGAGCUUGAGUGUGGUAGAAGUAUGCGGAAUGCGUAGUGUAGCGGUGAAAUGCAUAGAUAUUACGCAGAACUCCGAUUGCGAAGGCAGCAUACCGGGCCACAACUGACGCUGAUGCACGAAAGCGUGGGUAUCGAACAGG
rnacentral:rRNA from 2 species